rnacentral:lncRNA from 1 species
ACACACUUGUAAGACUAGAAUUAUUUAAUACAACUUGACAUUUAUCUAAAAUAGACUUAACCACAGGAACUGAGGGAUGACCAAGUCUUCGGUGCCACAACGUAAAAGUAUUACAUUCUUUAGAGGAAGACAGAAGUGCAGAAUCGGCAAUAGGAGAAGCCAUUACAGGAUGAACACAAGCAGUUAGUGAGAACUGAUAGAGACCAUCACGAAUGUGGCCCGUAGUAAAAUUUCCUGAGUCUUGAUGUCCUUAAUAACACAGUAAGAUGAAUGAAAUUCAAAAAAACACAUUAUUUUUCGUAGCAAACUUAGAAACAGACAGAAGAUUCUUCCGUAAAGUCAGCACACAAAGAACAUUAGACAAGUAAAGUAAUUUAUUUUUUGUGGGCAAAACAGAAUGACAAACACUUGAUAUCUUGGUGGGAGUCCCAUCACCCAUAAAAAGAGGAGAUAUACCUGAGUACGGAGUAGAUUCAUUCAAAGCAGAGGCCUUUCGAAAA